rnacentral:rRNA from 1 species
UACGGGGGGGGCAAGCGUUGUUCGGAAUUACUGGGCGUAAAGGGCUCGUAGGCGGCCAACUAAGUCAGACGUGAAAUCCCUCGGCUUAACCGGGGAACUGCGUCUGAUACUGGAUGGCUAGAGGUUGGGAGAGGGAUGCGGAAUUCCAGGUGUAGCGGUGAAAUGCGUAGAUAUCUGGAGGAACACCGGUGGCGAAGGCGGCAUCCUGGACCAAUAUUGACGCUGAGGAGCGAAAGCCAGGGGAGCAAACGGG